CGAAGAGGAUGAUGGGGUCUCCAUUGGAAAGGUGCUUUGGCAUCAGCCGAAGGGCCUGGCUGCUGAGGCUCAGAGGAAUAAUAGAUCCAUAGAACCUGUUUUAAUGAGUCACUUGUUUGAUUCUGAACCUAAUUGGAAUGAUAUGGAAUUGCUGAUAAAAUGGAAAGGCCAGUCACAUUUGCAUUGUCAGUGGAAGUCUAUUGUUGAGUUGCAAAAUCAUAGUGGUUUUAAGAAAGUUUUGAAUUAUAGAAAGAAAGUAACAGAGGACAUCAGGUACAGGAUGACAAUCUCACGGGAGGAGAUUGAGGUCAAUGAUGUGAGUAAGGAGAUGGAUUUAGAUAUUAUCAAGAAAAAUUGUCAGGUUUUUUCCUCCAUUUCAUUGCUUUGGUGUUUCCUUUUUCUUGUUACCUUGAAUGUAGUUUGAAUUGGACCAUGACUUGCAUUUUUAGGUGGAAAGAAUAAUUGCAGAUAGGAUUAGCAAAGAUAACAAUGGCAAUGUUAUUCCAUAAUACUUGGUCAAGUGGAAAGGACUAUCUUAUGCUUAAGUGACUUGGAAUGCUGCUCAAUAUAUAUAUAUGGAGAAGGACAUUGAUAUUGCUUUUGCUCAACACGCUAUUGAUGAGUAUAAGGCUUGCGAAGCUUCAAUUUCAAUUCAAGGAAAGAUGGUAGAUCUUCAGCGUAAAAAGAGCAAAGUACUGUUAACGCCCUUGCCAUUGUUCUACCAUUUGUCUUCAACAAGCUAGUUAUCAAAUCCCAAUUAUGAUCCUGAAUUGUCAAGAUAAUGUUUGAAUCAUGA